rnacentral:lncRNA from 1 species
UUCAAACAAUGUUUCUGCUGUUUUCGGUGUUAAAUCCAACUCCAUUUUUUCUGUUAGUCCCAUAAUAAUUAAUAGUUACGUAAGAAACAAACCAAUAAAUAAUCUAUACACUUAAAGAUCCAAUUCAAAUCCAUCAAACCCAAACUCACACUGUAAAAAAUGAAAUAUACUCAGAAAAGACAAGUGCAUACCAGUGAUUAUUAGGAGACAAAAAUGUUGAAGAGACUUUCUAUAACUCCUCCCUUUUUUUGAGUGAUUAUUAUAAAAGCAGGUCACGCUGAGGAAUAAAAGGGAGCUAUUUAUUGAGUUUAGGAUGUCAUAGUUUUUGUAAACAAAAAAUAAAAUAAAAAGAUAGCAUGGUCAUAACUAGAUUUACGUAACUAGAUUGCCACUGUUUAAAAAGUAGGCAAAUGUACCCAAAUUAUAUGGUGCCGUGGUGUGUAAUACUUGUCUCCGUAUAUGAUUAUAUGUUUCUUUUAGGAGUUUAGAGGCGACUUUAAGAAGCAGAAGAUUUUGAAUGAUUUGAUGAUUUUAAGGUGAAAAUGUCACGGUAUUACAAAGUCAUGAGGACUUUCCCACCUUAAAAACUAAAUAUUAAUGAGGCAGACUAUAAAGUCAGAUGCUGUUUAAUUUGGAAAAGUAAAUUUUUUUUUCACCAUGAAAAAGUUAAUUUUUAAUAAUUAGAUUAAAUAGGGUACACAAUUUUAUCAUGAUCUCUCAACAUCAAAUUUUUUCCACAUCAUCUUCCACCACCACCCUUCUCCCCUAAAAGUUAAUAAUCUACUAAAAAUACCAAUAUAUUUUAAAAAAAAAAAUCAAACAAAAGUACAUUUGCUUGUUUAUCAUUACAAAAUCCGCAUAAUCAAAAAAUUAUAGAAAUAAUAAAUGAAUUAAUCCUAAGUAAUUUCUUAUUUGUACAACAACAGUGGAAGAGUAACUAAGCUAUUUCAAUUGCAAUGUUCUUCAAACAAGGGUUGAGCAAGAUAAUGUAGAAGGAUCAUACAAAGCAGGAAGAAGAUACUUCCUUCCAUUAUCACCAUGAGCAUUGAAACUAGCACCAGUAGUAGAACCAACAAGCAAAUCACCAGCAUAACCAGGGUAAGCACCUUUACCAUAAACAUCAGGACAAGUUGAAGCAGCUUCAAGAGGUGCUUUAGAAGGACCUUAAAAAUAUCCAUUUCCAAAAGGGUUUGUUGCAGUUCCAACUAAAGGAGAGAUCUAGGUGUUAAACAUGGUGGUGGUGGUGGUUAUGAUGGUCUUGUACGGAGAGAAAGGAGAGAGGAGCAUGUAGAGAGAAAGUGAGAAAUGGUUGAUGAUUGUGUGGUUGAAGAGAGAGGGAGAAAAAUCUAGUAUUAAGGGAGUAUGAUAAAAGUGUAUUCUUUAUUGAAUCUAAUGGUUAAAAUUUACUUUCCCAUGAUGGGAAAAAAGUUUGCUUUCCCAAAUUAAACGGCACCACAAAGUCAUAGGGUUUGUUGCAGUUCCAACUAAAGGAGAGAUCUAGGUGUUAAACAUGGUGGUGGUGGUGGUUAUGAUGGUCUUGUACGGAGAGAAAGGAGAGAGGAGCAUGUAGAGAGAAAGUGAGAAAUGGUUGAUGAUUGUGUGGUUGAAGAGAGAGGGAGAAAAAUCUAGUAUUGAGGGAGUAUGAUAAAAGUGUAUUCUUUAUUGAAUCUAAU